rnacentral:rRNA from 1 species
CCUACGGGAGGCAGCAGUGGGGAAUUUUGGACAAUGGGCGCAAGCCUGAUCCAGCAAUGCCGCGUGCAGGAUGAAGGCCUUCGGGUUGUAAACUGCUUUUGUACGGAACGAAAAGGUUCUUUCUAAUAAAGAGAGCCCAUGACGGUACCGUAAGAAUAAGCACCGGCUAACUACGUGCCAGCAGCCGCGGUAAUACGUAGGGUGCGAGCGUUAAUCGGAAUUACUGGGCGUAAAGCGUGCGCAGGCGGUUAUAUAAGACAGAUGUGAAAUCCCCGGGCUCAACCUGGGACCUGCAUUUGUGACUGUAUAGCUAGAGUACGGUAGAGGGGGAUGGAAUUCCGCGUGUAGCAGUGAAAUGCGUAGAUAUGCGGAGGAACACCGAUGGCGAAGGCAAUCCCCUGGACCUGUACUGACGCUCAUGCACGAAAGCGUGGGGAGCAAACAGGAUUAGAUACCCUGGUAGUCCACGCCCUAAACGAUGUCAACUGGUUGUUGGGUCUUCACUGACUCAGUAACGAAGCUAACGCGUGAAGUUGACCGCCUGGGGAGUCGGCCGCAAGGUUGAAACUUAAAGGAAUUGACGGCUGAGAGNGCGAGACGACGACGAGGGAGGAGG